UACGUAGGGGGCAAGCGUUGUCCGGAGUUACUGGGCGUAAAGCGCACGCAGGCGGUCUUUUAAGUUUGGAGUGACAGUUGGUGGCUUAACUGCCAAAGUGCUUCGAAAACUGACAGACUUGAGGGCUUCAGAGGGACACGGAAUUCCGGGUGGAGUGGUGAAAUGCGCAGAUAUCAGGAAGAACACCCGUGGCGAAAGCGGCUCUCUGGAACGGUACUGACGCUGAGACGCGAAAGCGUGGGGAGCGAACAGG
rnacentral:rRNA from 1 species